GACGUAGGGCGCGAGCGUUGUCCGGAUUUAUUGGGCGUAAAGAGCUCGUAGGCGGCUUGUCGCGUCGACUGUGAAAACUCGGGGCUCAACUCCGAGCUUGCAGUCGAUACGGGCAGGCUAGAGUUCGGUAGGGGAGACUGGAAUUCCUGGUGUAGCGGUGAAAUGCGCAGGUAUCAGGAGGAACACCGAUGGCGAAGGCAGGUCUCUGGGCCGAUACUGACGCUGAGGAGCGAAAGCGUGGGGAGCGAACAGG
rnacentral:rRNA from 1 species